GACGAACGCUGGCGGCGUGCUUAACACAUGCAAGUCGAGCGGUAAGGCCCUUUCGGGGGUACACGAGCGGCGAACGGGUGAGUAACACGUGGGUGACCUGCCCUCAGCUCUGGGAUAAGCCUGGGAAACCGGGUCUAAUACCGGAUAUGACUCCAUGACGCAUGUUGUGGGGUGGAAAGCCUUGUGCGGCUGAGGAUGGGCCCGCGGCCUAUCAGCUUGUUGGUGGGGUGAUGGCCUACCAAGGCGACGACGGGUAGCCGGCCUGAGAGGGCGACCGGCCACACUGGGACUGAGACACGGCCCAGACUCCUACGGGAGGCAGCAGGUGGGGAAUCUUGCGCAAAUGGGACGAAAAGCCUGACGCAGCGACGCCGCGUGA
rnacentral:rRNA from 1 species